rnacentral:lncRNA from 1 species
CCUCACCCGGUCACUUAACCCAACGGAUGUAGAAUCUUCAAAAAAAAUUGAAAAUAAGACUAGUUUGUUAGUUGGUUCAGCGGUUUCUGGUACUGAACUAGGUAGGGCAGAUUACAGUCCGAUCCCCCGCAACUACAACUGAAUAAGCAAAGGGUUAUGCCACGUAGGUACUAGAAUCCCGUGUAAAAAGGAUCAGAGCCACAAACCGGUCGCCUUGCUAUGGAUGUGUGGAGAUAACGGGCUUAAUGUGAUUG